UCCAAUGUGAUGUAGUACUAGUGGCUAACAUUGCUGUCUUUCACAUGCAUUUCACAGCAGCCCGGGGUUCGAUUCCCCGCAUUGGAA